AGCGGAGGAAAAGAAACCAACAGGGAUUGCCUUAGUAACGGCGAGUGAAGCGGCAAAAGCUCAAAUUUGAAAUCUGGCGCCUUCGGUGUCCGAGUUGUAAUUUGAAGAAGGUAACUUUGGAGUUGGCUCUUGUCUAUGUUCCUUGGAACAGGACGUCACAGAGGGUGAGAAUCCCGUGCGAUGAGAUGCCCAAUUCUAUGUAAAGUGCUUUCGAAGAGUCGAGUUGUUUGGGAAUGCAGCUCUAAGUGGGUGGUAAAUUCCAUCUAAAGCUAAAUAUUGGCGAGAGACCGAUAGCGAACAAGUACAGUGAUGGAAAGAUGAAAAGAACUUUGAAAAGAGAGUGAAAAAGUACGUGAAAUUGUUGAAAGGGAAGGGCUUGAGAUCAGACUUGGUAUUUUGCGAUCCUUUCCUUUUUGGUUGGGUUCCUCGCAGCUUACUGGGCCAGCAUCGGUUUGGAUGGUAGGAUAAUGAUUAAGGAAUGUGGCUCUACUUCGGUGGAGUGUUAUAGCCUUAGUUGAUGCUGCCUGUCUAGACCGAGGACUGCGUCUUUGACUAGGAUGUUGGCAUAAUGAUCUUAAGCCACCCGUCUUG
rnacentral:rRNA from 1 species